CUUUAAGACUAAGAGGUAGAUAGGGCAGAGGUGUAAGCGUAGCGAUACGUUCAGCUGACUGUCACUAAUCGGUCGAGGGUUUAACCAAA
rnacentral:rRNA from 1 species